UACGUAGGGUGCAAGCGUUGUCCGGAAUUAUUGGGCGUAAAGGGCUCGUAGGCGGUCUGUUGCGUCGGGAGUGAAAUCUUACAGCUUAACUGUGAACUUGCUUUCGAUACGGGCAGACUUGAGGUAUUCAGGGGAGAACGGAAUUCCUGGUGUAGCGGUGAAAUGCGCAGAUAUCAGGAGGAACACCGGUGGCGAAGGCGGUUCUCUGGGCAUUAACUGACGCUGAGGAGCGAAAGCAUGGGGAGCGAACAGG
rnacentral:rRNA from 1 species